rnacentral:rRNA from 1 species
AUUGAACGCUGGCGGCAUGCCUUACACAUGCAAGUCGAACGGUAACAGGUCUUCGGAUGCUGACGAGUGGCGAACGGGUGAGUAAUACAUCGGAACGUGCCUAGUAGUGGGGGAUAACUACUCGAAAGAGUGGCUAAUACCGCAUGAGAUCUACGGAUGAAAGCAGGGGAUCGCAAGACCUUGUGCUACUAGAGCGGCCGAUGGCAGAUUAGGUAGUUGGUGGGAUAAAAGCUUACCAAGCCGACGAUCUGUAGCUGGUCUGGGAGGACGAUCAGCCACACUGGGACUGAGACACUGCCCAGACUCCGACGGGAGGCAGCAGUGGGGAAGUUUGGACAAUGGGCGCAAGCCUGAUCCAGCAAUGCCGCGCGCAGGAUGAAGGCCUUCGGGUUGUAAACUGCUUUUGUACGGAACGAAAAGCCCCGGGUUAAUACCCUGGGGUCAUGACGGUACCGUAAGAAUAAGCACCGGCUAACUACGUGCCAGCAGCCGCCGUAA